rnacentral:misc_RNA from 1 species
UUGUGGAGGAGGACGCCGAAGGUGGGGCUAAUGACUGGGGUGAAGUCGUAACAAGGUAGCCGUACCGGAAGGUGCGGCUGGAUCACCUCCUAACAGGGAGACAACAAAAUGUUUAAUAUUAUUAUUUUGUCACCUUAGGUCGAUCGGUAUCUCACGUUCUUAAUUAAUUAAGAAUUUCAAUUUCUAAGUUUUUCUAGGUCACACCCAUUAUUUUUCCUGGGCCAUUAGCUCAGGUGGUUAGAGCGCACCCCUGAUAAGGGUGAGGUCCCUGGUUCAAGUCCAGGAUGGCCCAUAUCUCUAUGUUGGGGGUAUAGCUCAGUUGGUAGAGCGCCUGCUUUGCAAGCAGGAUGUCAGCGGUUCGAGUCCGCUUACCUCCACUGAUUACCACCUCUUCCAUAAUUUGUAGAAGGAAAAUGUUUUGAGUUGUGAUCAAAUUCUGAACGAAUCUAGCUUCCUAAUGAAAGUAUUAAGAUGCUGGACUCAUUGAAUUAAUUUCAUUGUUUUCAGAGAACCUUGACAACUGCAUAGAUUAUUUUUUAAAGACAAUAAGCAUCUUUAAUGAUGCAGAUUUAUUAUUUGUGCGAAUGCAUUAAUAACAAUUCUAUUAAGCUGAUGCUUCAAUUUUGAAGUUAUUGGUCAAGCUACAA